rnacentral:rRNA from 1 species
AGAGUUUGAUCCUGGCUCAGGACGAACGCUGGCGGCGCGCCUAACACAUGCAAGUCGAACGAGAGAGAGGGAGCUUGCUUCCUCAAUCGAGUGGCGAACGGGUGAGUAACGCGUGAGGAACCUGCCUCAAAGAGGGGGACAACAGUUGGAAACGACUGCUAAUACCGCAUAAGCCCACGGGUCGGCAUCGACCAGAGGGAAAGAGCAAUCCGCUUUGAGAUGGCCUCGCGUCCGAUUAGCUAGUUGGUGAGGUAAUGGCCACAAGGCAACGAUCGGUAGCCGGACUGAGAGGUUGAACGGCCACAUUGGGACUGAGACACGGCCCAGACUCCUACGGGAGCA